rnacentral:rRNA from 1 species
UACAGAGGGUGCGAACGUUGUUCGGAAUCACUGGGCAUAAAGCGCUCGUAGGCGGCACCGCAAGUGUGGGGUGAAAUCCCACGGCUUACCCGUGGAACUGCCUGGCAGACUGCGGUGCUAGAGGAUGGUAGGGGAGAGCGGAACUCUUGGUGGAGCGGUGAAAUGCGUAGAUAUCAAGAGGAACACCGGUGGCGAAGGCGGCUCUCUGGUCCAAACCUGACGCUGAGGAGCGAAAGCUAGGGGAGCAAACGGG